rnacentral:rRNA from 1 species
CCCUUAGAUGUUCUGGGCUGCACGCGCGCUACACUGACAUACUCAGCAAGUUUCCUUUCCCGAAAGGGUUGGGUAAUCUUGUUAGUGUAUGUCGUGAUGGGGAUAGAAUAUUGUAAUUAUUGCUCUUUAACGAGGAAUUCCUAGUAAGCGCAAGUCAACAGCUUGCGCUGAUUACGUCCCUGCCCUUUGUACACACCGCCCGUCGCUCCUACCGAUUGGGUGAUCCGGUGAAUGGUUCGGACUCUGGCUAUGCUAGCUACUAGCUACGUCAGGGAAAGUUCUGUGAACCUUNUNACUUGCNGGAAGGAGAANUCGUANCA